ACCUACGGGGGGCAGCAGUGGGGGAUAUUGCACAAUGGGCGAAAGCCUGAUGCAGCGACGCCGCGUGAGGGAAGACGGUUUUCGGAUUGUAAACCUCUGUCGAGGGGGACGAAGGAAGUGACGGUACCCCUUGAGGAAGCCACGGCUAACUACGUGCCAGCAGCCGCGGUAAUACGUAGGUGGCGAGCGUUAUCCGGAAUGAUUGGGCGUAAAGGGUGCGUAGGCGGCCUGCUAAGUCUGGAGUGAAAGGUACCGGCUCAACCGGUACAGGCUCUGGAAACUGGCGGGCUAGAGAGCAGGAGAGG
rnacentral:rRNA from 1 species